GAUUAACGCUGGCGGCAUGCCUAAUACAUGCAAGUCGGACGAGGGUAGCAAUACCCUAGUGGCGAACGGGUGAGUAACACGUGGGAAAUCUGCCUUUAAGUCGAGGAUAACUGCUGGAAACGGCAGCUAAAACUGGAUAGGUUAUAUUGGGGCAUCCUGAUAUAAUUAAAAGUCCUUUACGGGAAUGCUUAAAGAUGAUCCUGCGUCGCAUUAGAUAGUUGGUAGGGUAACGGCCUACCAAGUCUACGAUCAGUAGCCGGACUGAGAGGUCGGACGGCCACAUUGGAACUGAGAUACGGUCCAGACUCCUACGGGAGGCAGCAGUGGGGAAUAUUGGGCAAUGGGCGAAAGCCUGACCCAGCGACGCCGCGUGAGGGAAGAAGGUCUUCGGAUUGUAAACCUCUGUUGACAGGGACGAAGGAAGUGACGGUACCUGUUGAGGAAGCCACGGCUAACUACGUG
rnacentral:rRNA from 1 species